rnacentral:rRNA from 1 species
GACGAACGCUGUCGGCGUGCUUAACACAUGCAAGUCGAACGGAAAGGCCCUGCUUUUGUGGGGUGCUCGAGUGGCGAACGGGUGAGUAACACGUGAGUAACCUGCCCUUGACUUUGGGAUAACUUCAGGAAACUGGGGCUAAUACCGGAUAGGAGCUCCUGCUGCAUGGUGGGGGUUGGAAAGUUUCGGCGGUUGGGGAUGGACUCGCGGCUUAUCAGCUUGUUGGUGGGGUAGUGGCUUACCAAGGCUUUGACGGGUAGCCGGCCUGAGAGGGUGACCGGCCACAUUGGGACUGAGAUACGGCACAGACUCCUACGGGAGGCAGCAGUGGGGAAUAUUGCACAAUGGGCGGAAGCCUGAUGCAGCAACGCCGCGUGCGGGAUGACGGCCUUCGGGUUGUAACCCGCUUUCGCCUGUGACGAAGCGUGAGUGACGGUAAUGGGUAAAGAAGCACCGGCUAACUACGUG